AGGGGCGGGACGUGGCGCGGGAGGGGCCCGCGGGGUCGGCGACACGGCUGGCGGAUGGCGUCCCUCCUCUCUACCCUCCCCCUCCCGCCGCCGCCGGUGACGGCUCCCCCCCGGCCCGUCACCCACACUCGCGGGUGUCCGUCCUCGACGCGGCCUCCCAGGGCCGCCUUCGCUUGGCGUCCCGCUUCCUCCCGCCGUCGGUGCGCAUCCCGGCCCCGAGCCCCUUGGGCGCCUCUUUCGCCAGAGCUUCACUUGUCCGGGCUGCGUGUGCGUCGUGCCCUUCUAGGGGCUUCGGGCCCGCGGCGCCGUCGCGCGCCCGCGGCCCCGGCCUCUCCCUUCCUCGCGCUCUCCCCUCUCCCUUCCUCGCGCGCCCCCUCUCCCGUUACUUGCCCCCCCCACCGGCGCGCGUGCGCAGUCCGUCUCCUGUCGAGAGAGUGCGCCACAAGGGCUCCUGCGCUCUCACCCCCAUCUCCAGGCUUUGCCUCCCCCUCCUUCUCGCCCAUUCCAUGAAUUUCUGCCCCCGUUGCGAGCGAGUCGUCCACCAUCUCCUUUCCUAUCUGGCAGGAACAAGCUCCAUAAAAAUACAGACUCACCAGUUCCUGCUUUGAUGUGACAUGUGACUCCCCAGAAUACAUCUUGCUUCUGUAGACCAGCUCCAACAGGAUUCCAUGGUAGCUGGAAUGUUAGGGCUCAGAUGUGUUGCUUGAAGUACCCAUGAGAGUGGUCUUUGUAGUUUUCCGCCUGACUGGACGAAACCUCAGGAACUGAUUCCUGAGAAGAGGCUGACACUGCCCACUCCAGCUCCCAGGCCUGACUCUGCCCUUGGGCCCUUAGUGACCCCUACAGACAUCUGGUGCAACCCCUGUAGCCAGAAAGGACAAUGGUUUUCUCACAUGUUGCUCUUUCCCUAGUGGGUUAUGAGCUUCUGGAACAGAGACCCCAUGCAACUUCUGAGGGCCUUCCCCUGCCAUAGUAUGGCAUCUGGCAUGAGUGGCUGAUGGAGUUUCUCCUGGGACCAGUAAGGGGCAGGGUUUCUGGCUCACGACAUGACUUUCCCACACACCUCCACUAUCUGGACCUGGUUCUUCCAGGUUCACUCAGCAGGCUUGAGCCACUUGUCUCCCUGCUUGGCAGAUGUAGUUAGGAAGAGCAAAAUGCUCUGGCCAGUUAAGUGAACUUUCUGAGUCUCAGCAGUUCAAACAGUGUUUUGUUUUGUUCUGGUCAGGUUAUGACACCCAUACUAUGAAGGAAAGGAAAGCAAUCUGGUAUUGUAGGAGGUGGUGUGUUGUGUUGUUAAUUGUUUUAUUUUUAAGUUUUACAUAUUUUUGCAGUGAGGCAAGUUUUCUUUGAAUAAAUAAUGCUGGGAGCUUAUCACAUAGAAGGCAUUUGUGUUGUCCUCAGUACAUUCUGAAUUAUAUAGGUUUAUUUUUGUCUCUUGUAUUCACUUAUAAACAACUCAAAGGCUGCAUUUUUAGCCAACAGAAAUAGGAAGAAAGAAUUUCAGAAUUUAUUUUGUCAUUUUUCAGUAGCUUGAGUUAUAGUGAUUGUGAUAACUUAGUGAAAAAAACUGUGUAGUGAGUAAAGCUUACAUAUGGUUUAUCAUGAACAUUUUGUUGUGCCUUUUUUUUUUUUUUUUUUUUGCUUCUAAGCACCUUGAUACUUUUUGUGUGUUAAAGGACUCAUGCAGGUUUAUUCUGGGGAUGCAAGGCUGGUACAAUAUUCACAAAUCAAUAAAUGUGAGACAUCACAUAAAAAAAUGAAGGAUAGCCCUAACCGGUUUGGCACAGUGGAUAGAGUGUCGGCCUACAGACUGAAGGGUCCCAGGUUUGAUUCCGGUCAAGGGCCUGUACCUUGGCUUCGGGCACAUCCCCAGUAGUGAGUGAGUGUACAGAAGGCAGCUGAUCGAUGUUUCUCGCUCAUCAAUGUUUCUACCUCUCCCUUCCUCUCUAAAAAAUUCAAUAAAAUAUUUUUUUAAAAAAAGAUAAAAUCACAUGAUCCUAUCAAUAGACACAGAAAAAGCAUUUGAUAAAAAUCCAGCACCCAUUUUUGAUGAAAACUCUCAGCAGAGUUGAAAUAGUGGGAUAUACCUCAACAUAAAAAAGGCCAUAUUGCCCAGCCAGUGUGGCUCAGUGGUUGAGUGUCAACCUAAGAACCAAGAUGUCACGGUUUGGUUCUCGGUCAGGGCACAUGCCCAGGUUGUGGGCUCAAUCCCCAGUGUGGGGUAUGCAGGAGACAGCCAAUAUGGUUCUCUCUCAUCAUUGAUGUUUCUAUCUCUCCCUCUAUCUCUGAAAUCAAUAAAAAUAUACUUUCUUAAAAAGGCCAUUUAGAAAGAUUAACAAUCUUGUUGCCCAGACAAUGGAGUCUCAUCCCAGCCUCCUACUUCCCCAUGCCUGUAGUCCCUGCUUCCCCAUGUAAUCCUUGUCCUACCCUAUAUAAGCAGCUGGCUUAUGGGGGGCUGCAGAGCAGAUUUUUGUGGAUGACCUGCUGCUCUCCCAUACUGCCAGCAGUAUUGGAAUAAACGUGCAUAUAUGAUUUUUUAAAAAGGCCAUUUAUGGCAAACCUAUAGCCAACAUCAUAAUCAGUGGGCAAAAACUAAAAAUGUUUCCCUUAAGAACAGAAAUAAGACAGGGAUGUCCUCUUUCACCACUCUUAUUCAGCAUAGUUCUGGAAGUCCUAGACACAGCAAUCAGACAAGAAGAAAAAAUAAAAGGCAUCCAAUUGGAAAGGAGGAAGUAAAACUGUCAUUAUUCACAGAUAACAUGAUAUUGUACAUAAAAACCCCUAAAGACUCCACCAAAAAACUACUAGACUUAAUAAAUGAAUUCGGGAAAGUAGCAGGAUACAAAAUUAACAUCUAGAAAGCGAUGGCAUGUUUAUACAACAAUAAUAAACUCUCAGAAAGAGAAAUUUAAAAAAAAAAAAACAGUUCCACUUACCAUUACAACAAAAAUAAGAUACCUAGGAAUAAACUUAGCCAAGGAGGUAAAAGACCUAUAGAGUAUUAGGCUAAGUGAAAUAAGCCAGUCAGAGAAAGACAACUAUCAUGUGAUCUCACUUAUAUGUGGAAUCUAAUGAACACAGUAAACUGAUGAGCAAAAUACGUCGAGAUGCAUGGAUGCAUGGAACAGACUGACAGAUCUCAGAGGAGCAGGGAGCGGGGAUGGAAAGAGAUUAACCAAAGAGCUUAUAUGUAUAAUAGAGGCCCGGUGCACGAAUUUGUGCACCAGUAGGGUCCCUCGGCCUGGCCUGCGGGAUCAGGCCAAAACCGGCUCCCUGACAUCCCCCAAGGGGUCCAAGAUUGCAAGAGGGUGCAGGCCAGGCCGAGGGACCCCACCGGUGCACAAUCAGGGCCGGGGAGGAAUGCAGGAGAUUGGCCAGCCAGGGAGGGACUGCGGUAGGGCUCCAGGGCGUGUCUGGCCCAUCUCACUCAGUCCUGAUCAGCGGGACCCCAGCACCAAACUAACCUACCAGUCGGAGUGUCUGCCCCCUGAUGUUCAGUGCACGUCAUAGCAACUGGUUGACUGCCCCCUAGCGGUCAGUGCACAUCAUAGCUAGUGGUUGAGUGGCCGUAGCAUAUCAUUAGUAUAUUAUGCUUUGAUUGGUUGAACGGACAACUGACAACUGGAUACUUAGCAUAUUAGGCUUUUAUUAUAUAGGAUAUGCAUAGUCUAUGGACACAGACAAUAAUGUGGUGAAGGCCUGGGGUAAGGCGGGGACUGGGUGGGGGGGGGGAGGCAAAGGAAGGGGAUAUGGGGGACAUCUGUAAUUCUGUCAACAAUUUUUUUACAAUUUUGGAAAAGAAACCCACAUUGUGUGGAUCUUAGGUUAGAGACAGGUGGACCCUGGCUUCUACUUAAGAAAGCCUAAAUAUGGGACUGGAGACUUGUGGUGUCCUCUUCUCUCAUGUGCCCUGAAGUCUGGAGGCAGGCUGUCCAUGGCCACUGCAGUGGUUCUGUCAGUAUCUGGGAUCCAGAACCCUUCAGUCUUUCUCCAUCACCCUGAGCAAGAGACUUCCAUUUUCAAGGUUGCCUAUAGUUACAAGAUGGCACUUGCAGCUCUAGCCAUUGCAUCCUCCUCUCCAGCUAGAAAGAAGGAGAGCAUGGGGAAUGGGCAAUAGGGACUUGCCAGCUUACCCUACAGACCAUUCAAUCAUUUCCAUUUCCAUUUCCACAUCUAUCUUUUUUUAGCUGAGGAACAAAUAGUGCCUAUAACAAAGCAAUCAUUUAUUUCUCUCUAAUGGUUCUGGAUGCAAGAUGGGGUUCAGAUCUGUUCGCUAGCCUAUGGUUCUUGAACCCAGGAAGGGAAAGCAACUUCCAGGGACAGUUUCUUCUUACUGGUAUGCAUCAGAAAGCAAGCAGUGGUGGCUAAUGUCCAGAGAUGAUCUGGUGAUGCCCAGGAUGGGUUUCCCAACCAGAUAGUCCCUUUAGUGCACCUUGGCUGUGUUUUCAGUUGUGUGGCUGCUUUCUCAGCUUAGUUUUCAGUUAUGAAAACACUUUUCUGGGCUUAGUCUUCUCUCCAGCUCCAAAUCUGCACACACACACACAAAACAAACAAAACAAAACUCAUUUGUAAUUGCAGUUAGCUAGAGUUGGUUUCUGUUGCUUGCAACCCAGGUCCUUGAUGUAUGGGCAAGGAAAAAAACAUGCUUUCAAAUUUUUAUCUCAGGAUAGAAGAGGAGCAUAGGCUUUUUGAGCCAUGUUGCCCUCAGGAUUAAAUCUCAGCUUUUAUACCUACUAGUUGUCAAGUGCUUUUUCUGUCCUUGAGCCUGUAUUGCCUUUGGUUAACUACUUUAAUGUUGUUGAGCAUUCAGUGAGACUGUAUGUAAAGCAGUGAUUGUGAAAGUAUUGGGAAAAUGUCCUGGUCUGAGCUUUUGGAUUGGCUCUAUAUCAUUUGAAUAAUGGGCUAGUAAUUUAGCAGUACUGAUAACAGCUAAAAUGGCCCUCUGGAAAGGGGGUAAAGAAGGGUGGGAAGUGCCGCUGGUGCCCAUUGAAUGAGGCUUUCCAACAGACCCUGAUCUCCAAUCAAAGCACAGUGCUUGGCAAACAGAGGCUGUUCUGUGAAUGAAUGAAUGCAUGCUUGGGUGUAAUUCCAUGGGAUUUGGGCGAGUUUGAAGUGUUUGGAUUGGGGAAAACAAUUCAGCUGCAUAUCACCAUUCAACGACUCAUCUUAGUCUUAAUUAAGUGCUUCUAACCCAGCAGUUGGGACAGUUAUCUUAGGCUAUUCAACAAUCACUUAUUGUGAGUAUAUUUGUGCAGAUUUUUAAAUUUCCUUUUUAGUCUAAACAUGAAUGCAACAGUGUUUAUUACUGACUUACCAUUAGUCACCACUAAUGAACAAGAAAUUCAUAAAAGAAGAGAUACAGGUGGCUAAUGAAGAUGUAGGAAAAGAGUUCUGCCUCAGUGAUAAUCAAAGAGACACAAAUGAAAACAAAGAUGAUGCCAUUAUCACCUACCAAAUUUGUAAAGAUUAAAAAGACAGAAAGAAAAGACCUAGUGCCAGCUAAUACUGGGAUCUGCUCCUGCUGUACAGCUUGCUCCCCACCUACUGAGCCAGCCUGCACAUGCAACCAGGUGAGGCCUUUCCUUGUCUACGGGCACAUAUGGAUCCACUGUUGAGCAGGUGACUCACCACACAGUUCACAACUCGGGAAGUGCAAACUCUAGAGUAAUGAUUGGUCUGUGAGUGUCCCUGCUACCACCCAAGCCCCUCUUUAGGGUACAGCUGCUUCCAGGAUCCUUUGUAUGUUUUUGACAUGUUCUGUGCACGUGCAUGUACACACACUUGGAAACCUAUUUUUAUUUUCCCUGCACUGCUCGGGUCAGGUAUAUUUUUGUCCAUUUUGUCUAUGUUACUAAAUUCAUUAGCAUGAAGUUGUAUCUCUUUUUUGCAAACCUCUGUAAUAUCUGUAUUUAUGUCUCCUUUUUCAUUCUAGAAUUCUUUGCAUGCACCUUCUCCCUUUUUUCCUUGUCUUAGUAGAACUUUGUCAGUUUUAUUAUCUUUUAAGAGUGAACUUUUGGGCAUUAUUGUCCUGUAUUACUCUAUAUCUGCUUUCUAGUUUGUUAAAUUCUACUUUUAUCUGUAUUAUAUCUUCUACUUUCUUGGGGUGUGUUCUCUGGUUUUUACUUCUUUCUUUAAAAAUAUUUUUUUAUUGAUUUCAGAGAGGAAGGGAGAGAGAGGGAUAGAAACGUCAGCACUGACAGAGUCAUUAAUCGGCUGUCUCUUGCAUUCCCCACACUUGGGACUGAGCCCCCACCCUGGAGCUGUGCCCUGACCGGGAAUUGAAACAUGACCUCCUGGUUCAUAGGUCAAUGCAACCACUGAGCCACACCGGCCGGGCCUUUUUCUUCUCAAAUUGUAAACUUAGCUCAUUAAUUUCCAGCCUUCUUUUCAAAUAUAAGCAUUUAAAGCUGACCCUCAAACCAUUUCAGCUGCAUCCAGCAAGUUUUCUUAUGUGUAGUACUACCACUUUAAGUCAGCUUAAAGGGUUUUUAUAAUUUCCUUUAUGAUUCUCUCUUUGAACCACAAAUUAUUUAAAAAUGUA